ensembl:lncRNA
GUAAGCUGUGAUCACCUGUCUCUAGUUUUAUGCACUAGUAUUUUAUUACUGGAAUAUUUUUCUGAAGAUUUGGAUCUUGCAUCCUGUAACCUGUAUUAGGUGAUAUGGAGCACAGUGUUGAUCAAGACUGCUUAGGAUUGCACUGAAGAAGACCAUGAAAUAUCAUUCUUGUUUGAAUGAGCUGUAGUCCUUUUCUGCUAUGCCUGUGUAGUGCUGGGUGUAUGGGGUCUUGUGCAACAGGCUGGAGGUAUUACAGCCCACUUUCAGUCUGCACUGUAACUGGAAUAAAGUAUAAAGUAACUUGUUCAGGGCUGUGCUCCAGCAGGAAAAAGCAGUAGCCACUGUAUUUUUGUUACCUCCCAUCUCUUCAGGAGGAACUCUUCAUGCAAUUAUUUUAAAAUUUUCAUUUUCUCAGAUUAAUUUGCUAGAUAAUACAUUAGUUCUGGCAUGAGAUUCGGGGUUGUGUUCAUUUGGGCCUCCUUAGUCCUGCAAGUUUACAGUUGUUUGUGAAUUUGUUUUUUCAGCUGUAGUUCGUUUCGUUUCAGAGCUCUUGAAAGCCACGCAUACUGGUCUGGGUGUAGCAGCUUCCUUGUUUCAGCUGAUAUUGCUACGGCAGUGCUUAGCUACUGGUUGAGUUCUGUUCUUUCUAAAGAAUAGAAAAAAAGUACUUGGAAAAUAAAAGGAAAAGCAAAAAUCUUAUUAACGUAAAAAGGAAUUGAGUGAAUACAGCAUCUGUGUUUAAAGAACUACACAGAAACAUUAAAAAAAAAAACCUGAGUACAAGGGGAUGUAAUGCAGAAGUGUAGGUCAGGUAUAUGCAGGUGAAAGAAGCACAAUAAGCAACGUGAAUGGCUGCUAUGCUGCUGCUGGAGAAGGACUGGAACUGGACAUUCAGUCCUAUCAAACCCUUUAUAAGAAAGGAGAUGUAAAACACCAACUGCUUGUUGCAUUCCCAUGCUUUUCUCUCCCCAACAAGUGCUGUUCUAGUACAUUUUGAUAGCUUUCACGAAGGGCUAUCAUGAAAACAGAAAAACUCAUCAACAAUGAGAACUGAGUUCUUGAAAGAACUCUAAGAAAAUUUCCAGGAGCAAUUGAAGGUGGUCCUUCUACAAGGCUGCAACAGAUUUCAAGCAUUUGAGAGGGUCAUCCUCUUGGUUCAUGAAAAGGAAACAAUGUAAAGUUUACCUGAGCAAAACCCUAAGUCUUCCUCGUCUCUUCUGAACUUAGUCUGCGUCAUCCCUGUAAGUGAGGUGGUUUCAUGUUCUGUUUUGUUUUUCCUGGAGCGCCUUGGCACGUCGCAGUCGUAUUAGGAAAAGGCAGAGCUUGCUGAGAUAAACUGCACAGCAGAAUAAAGUUAGCCCUCCCAAUUACACCACGGUGAAAGCUGCUUUAUGCAUUUCCCACCUGCACUUCACCGUGCUUUUUCUCCAGUAGACUUGCAGGCUUAUCACCUGGGGAAAAAUGUUGUGCAGAACAAACACUGAGAAUUUAGCCGCAGGUGAAUGACUGCUGUUGGUUCAUCGUGUAAAACUUGUAUUUCCAGAGGCUUUUACAUUGCAGAGACGAUGCUCCCUCUCAUGUGAUUGCACCAAAUGGGUGUGCAGACUGGACAGGAGGUGGGGUAGCACAACUGUUUGGUUGGGUUGUUUUUUUUUUUGGCUAGCUCCCCAGGUUUGAUUCAUUGACAUCAGGAUUGAGGGAACUCUUUCGACCCCCCCCCCAGAAUAAGUCCCUUGCAUGCCCAUAAUCUUCUCUUCCUUCUGUUCAGUGGUUCUUCUUUUAACCUUUCAGUGAUGAGGCUUAAUGCCCUUGACUUGGCUAUUUCAUAGGAUGAGAAAGCUACAACCUGAAACAAAUACAGUAAAACAUGAUCCACAACUAUACCAAGAUCUCCUCCUUGAAAGCCUUUUGGUCCUUCUUCUCAGGGAUCAGUGCCAGAAAAGUAAUGUCCUACCCACUUGGGAAUGCCUUGCUGAGAAAAGCUUUUUAUUAUCAGAAAUCACACGUUGUGCACUGUGCUGCAAGCCCCCCAGCCCUGCUUGUCCUGCUUCAUGGUCUGCCCUGAUCCAAGCACUGCGGCUCUCAGCACAGCUGCUUUCAUUGGCUCCCAUGCAGCCACGUCUGGUGUUGCUGAACUUCCUCCAGCACACAUUAGUAGUGAUACUAAUGUAUAAAUAACUAUUUUCAGAGCUGUUUCAGGAAGGUUGACUAAAGCAUGGUAAUUAGUUACUUAAUGUGUCUCUUCACCUAUUUGCAUAGCAAAUAUGAAGGGGGAAACUCUAGCCCCAGUGAAGUGAAACGGCAAAGCCCUGAGUGCUCUCACCCUGGUGUGCUGGGUGAUGCUUGAAGGACAGGAACAGGAGGAGGCUGACAUUUCUCAAAGAAAAAGCAAAACACACAAAUGUUUAAUGUUUUAAGUGGCACUAAUUGAGACAUGAAAGUGCUGCAGCAGCUGUGAGUGCAGUGAGAGCAGCAGGACAUCCUCUUCUCUCCAGUCUCUUUCUACCUGGAGAAAAGGCAUGGAAGGAACAGCCAUGGAAAGCUGGAGAUAAUGUGGGAGGCAAAUAGUGACUAGGUGAGACAGGAAGGGGAGAAAAGGAGGUGGAGAAGGAGAUGAUGCUGAGUGGGCUGAAGUGCCACUGACUUAUAGUUCUGGAGGGAAAGGGCUGGACACUGGUAAAAUGGGAGGGCCUGCCUGUGAGUUCAUGCGUGCUUGUUGGGCAGUGCCUAGUAGGGAAGUGGGACAGUGGGUUAUUGAAUCCAUUCUCCUUUGGUGGGAACAGGAGUGUAGCCAGGAUGUAUUUAUGGUGUUGCCUCCAUUUUCUUCCGGAUGAAAAACUACACUGAAACAGUUUAACAUGUUUUAAUGGAUGCUAAAAGAUUGAGUUCUGCGAAAAGCUGUAGCUCAGUACAGAGCCUAUUUUGAACAGUCUGGUUUGUAUCUCCACAAAGAGAACUGGGAGAGCUGCAGGGCGUAUUAUCCAAAUUAAUUCUUCUGUCCUUCCUAAAUAUUCUUCCUCCUGUUUCACUUUUCUCUCCCUUAUCCCCAGCUUUGGAGCGUUUCAGCUACAUCCUUCAGUGCUUUUUGACUUCACUAUAAAUAGCAAAGGUGCUAGUUUCUUUUGUAGAGGAGAAUUAUGGAAUGAAUUAGAAAAGCCCACUCUGGCUUUCCAGAAGAAGUUUUUAAGACAGAAAAGCUGAAGAUGGCUGCAUACCUCCCACUGCUUUCCUCAUGGAGGCGAAUGGCAACAAAAGGAAUAAGAUGCCUGUUGAAUUCCACCCUUUAUGAGAACUAAACUCACCUGCUGCUGAAAGUGGAUGGGACUUGGUUACCUGCUCUGUCUUGUUGCUUGCAUACUUGAGGUAAGCCAGAUAAAAUGGAAAUGGCCAAGUUUAACAUGUUAAUCGCCAAAUUAUUCAGUAACCUGGUGUAAAAUUUUCAAAUGUACGUAAAAUGAAGUAGGUGAAGAAAAACUGGCCAUCAUUUCAGCUGCUUUUGAGCUUGGCAAUGUUUGCUUCCCACAAUCAUUUAAACAAAAGAUUUUCCGAGACUUAUUGGCUUUCCUGAGACCUAAGACAGCCAGCACAUAAAACAGGUCAGCAUCCCCUGUCAGUCACAAGGAAUUCCACCACGACCAGGAAUCUGUAGUAUUGUAGAUUGCAGACUUGCAUGGAAAUUUUACAAAGGUCAGAAAUACUGUUGAAAACACAAAGCCUAGCCUGGGGACUCCGGGGUAUCGGGGAGCUUUCAAGCUAAUUGCACCCAGUUCCUGUCACUAAAUGAUGCCAAACGAUCUGAAAUACUGUUUAAAUGAUGUAAGUAGCUCAGGCUUUCAGUUAGGAACUUAUUUAUUUGCAGCUUUUUACGUGACUUUAUAUCCAAAUAGUUUCUUGGUUUCACUUCCUCGCUCUGGCCAUGUUGUUCAGUUUUUCUGGUCUCGGGAUAAAGUUUUUAAUGCUGUAAAUAACUCCACAGAGACCAAAAGUAUUUUGAGCUCUCACAGUACUAUUUUUUCCUCUUUGUCUAACAGAUCAAUUAGUCACCAAAUAAGACUUUGAGCUCAUGCACUGGAUAGCUAAACCAGUUUGAAUUGUGUGCGCUAUUUUACUCUUGGCGAUUAAACAAGCUAAUUAAUAGCUCCAAUACAAGAAUACUCAGAGGACAAAGAAAAAUCUUUUUAUAUUCAAAUAUUGUUGUUUGGAUGUUAAACACAGAAGCCAGUAACAUGGCAAUAGGUGCCAAGCAGAGGCCAAAAACCUGUUUGUCAUUCUUUUUAAUGCUCCUGUAAAUAAUCUUGCUUCUCCAUACUGUAAGCCAUUAAUUUGCAUUGGAUAAAGAUUAAGAAGAAGUGAGGUUUCUGUACUAGAAACAAUGAGACGAC